rnacentral:rRNA from 1 species
CAGCCGCCGCGGUAAUACGAAGGUCCCGAGCGUUGUUCGGAAUCACUGGGCGUAAAGGGAGCGUAGGCGGCGUGGUAAGUCAGAUGUGAAAUCCCGGGGCUCAACCUCGGAACUGCAUCCGAUACUGCCGUGCUAGAGGAUUGGAGAGGUAGCUGGAAUUCUUGGUGUAGCAGUGAAAUGCGUGGAGAUCAAGAGGAACACUCGUGGCGAAAGCGAGCUACUGGACAAUAUCUGACGCUGAGGCUCGAAGGCCAGGGUAGCGAAAGGGAUUAGAUACCCGCGUAGUCCCUGUCUCUUAUAC